UCCUCGUCUUCAGGAGUUUGCUUGCCCAACAAUAUUCUCUCAGCUGUACCAGUGUAUGAUGCCCCUUUACGUACACCCAGGGCAAAGUUUGUGAGCUAUGAAGCUGAGCUGCGAUGCUCUCCAGGUCUGGCAACCUGCCCCUCCUGCAGGACUCGGGUCACCACAGAGGUCACCUUUAAAGCCGGGACUUUUGCGUGGCUCGUGUGUCUUGUGUUUGUGUUAUGCGGGUUGGUGCUCGGCUGCUGCCUGAUUCCAUUUUUUGUAAACCACUUUAAGGACGCCUACCACAGUUGUCCACGCUGUCGACGGGUUCUUCACGUGCACAAGAAGCGGUGCUGCGAGUGAACACACAAUUGCUGGAGUCAAAUGCACGUUUAGACAUAAGAGCACACGAGUUCCUGUUGUGUAAAAUUCGAUAUUUUAAACGUUUUAAUCAAAUUGUGUAAGAAUCCUAUUAAAUAAAUGUGUUCUGUGCCAAUC